rnacentral:piRNA from 1 species
UAAACUAAUUCCAAUGUUGACAAUGGCCGU